UAAUCGUUUGCUUAUGUCAAUGAUCUGACUGUACGUUGGAGGAAGCACAAGGGAAAGAAAUCAAACCAGUGUAUCGUUAGAAAUAAAUCGUUUACACUUAACAAUAGUCUUGCAGAUAUAUGAAAUAAAGCUAUAUGAGUAGUAUGGCUUACAAUUGUUUGAUGUUUACAAUAAAUCGUUUUCUGGAAAUAUUUUUAUGUCCAAACGUUGAAUAUGCAUCUCCGUGAACAUAAACUUGUUUUGUUUGUCCAUGAUCAGCGGUUUGAUGAUAAAAACAUUGAAAUUAAUAUCUAAGACUGUGCAUGUUCAUUUCAGAAUAAUAUCGAUGGUUUUAAAUUGUAUUAUAAUAUAUUUUUUAAAUUCACAUAAAGACAAGCAUUUUGGCACCAAACUCAACGCAAUUCGAUCACAAAUAGAUAUUGAUUAAUGAUUGUUAUAAUAUCAUUAAUAUAUCCUACUUUUUGACGAACAGUGUUUGGUGUUUCAGAAUAAAAAAGAAAUUAUAACACAUGAUUCUUCCAAGCUGGAUUUAAUUCGACAACCAACCAACACAACAUUAGUAAUAAAUUCAAAAAUUAUUUUCAUCGAAAUUAAAUAAUUCUAUCACUAUAUACACUAUGUACUGGUGUAUUAAC